AGUACCAGAAGCAAGUUGCAACAACGCAAAAAAGUUCACAUUUGGCUCAGUGACUCAGUUCAGCAAUAAAAUGAAAGAUGUUCAUUGUUCUUCAAAACAACGUAUGGUGAUCCACAAAGCUCAUUAUGGUGAUUUCAAUAAUAGCGGGAGUUUUAAUGCCAAUGCAACUGUUGAUAUGAAAUGUAGUCAACGAGCAAGUUGUCAGGUGAAAUCUCUUUGUGGUGGAAAGAGAGCUUGUGAGCUGACCAUUAGCAGUACUUUGCUAUCAUCGCCAUAUUGUUCUACGAACACAGACCAACUUUAUAUCGAGUACACUUGUGUGGAUGUCUAUUUGAAUCCCAUAAAAACAGCUCGCAACAUGAGAUUAUCAAAGUCACCCAGCGAAGGUUUCGUUGAAAUAAAGAAUUUUUCCACUUGGAAAAAAGUAAGGGAGGAAAUCUGGGACAUCACUCGGGAAAAAUCCCUGUGUCAGCACUUGGGAUUUAAUGGGACUCCAGGGAACGUGGUUAAGACUGAGAGAACAAAGUCAGGUCAGGAAU